GAUGAAGCCCUUCGGGGUGGAUUAGUGGCGAACGGGUGAGUNNNACGUGGGCAAUCUGCCCUUCACUCUGGGACAAGCCCUGGAAACGGGGUCUAAUACCGGAUAACACUCUGUCCCGCAUGGGACGGGGUUAAAAGCUCCGGCGGUGAAGGAUGAGCCCGCGGCCUAUCAGCUUGUUGGUGGGGUGAUGGCCUACCAAGGCGACGACGGGUAGCCGGCCUGAGAGGGCGACCGGCCANACUGGGACUGACCCANGAANAANNNNNNUACGGGAGGCAGCAGUGGGGAAUAUUGCACAAUGGGCGAAAGCCUGAUGCAGCGACGCCGCGUGAGGGAUGACGGCCUUCGGGUUGUAAACCUCUUUCAGCAGGGAAGAAGCGAGAGUGACGGUACCUGCAGAAGAAGCGCCGGCUAACUACGUGCCAGCAGCCGCGGUAAUACGUAGGGCGCAAGCGUUGUCCGGAAUUAUUGGGCGUAAAGAGCUCGUAGGCGGCUUGUUGCGUCGNNNGUGAAAGCCCGGGGCUUAACCCCGGGUCUGCAGUCGAUACGGGCAGGCUAGAGUGUGGAAGGGGAGAUCGGAAUUCCUGNUGUAGCGGUGAAAUGCGCAGAUAUCAGGAGGAACACCGGUGGCGAAGGCGGAUCUCUGGGCCAUUACUGACGCUNNGGAGCGAAAGCGU
rnacentral:rRNA from 1 species